rnacentral:rRNA from 1 species
CAGUAGCCGCGGUAAUACGUAGGUGGCAAGCGUUGUCCGGAAUUAUUGGGCGUAAAGGGCUCGCAGGCGGUUUCUUAAGUCUGAUGUGAAAGCCCCCGGCUCAACCGGGGAGGGUCAUUGGAAACUGGGAAACUUGAGUGCAGAAGAGGAGAGUGGAAUUCCACGUGUAGCGGUGAAAUGCGUAGAGAUGUGGAGGAACACCAGAGGCGAAGGCGACUCUCUGGUCUGUAACUGACGCUGAGGAGCGAAAGCGUGGGGAGCGAACAGGAUUAGAUACCCCUGUAGUCCCUGUCUCUUAUAC